UGAAGUCGCCGUCCGGGCCAG
rnacentral:misc_RNA from 1 species